AUGCUCACUGCAUUUUCACUGAAUCACCAGUGCAUUCUCACUGCAUCCCCAUUGCUUCCCCAGCACGUCUCAGUUCUGUUCCCACUGUACCCUCAGUUCAUCCCCACCGGGUCCCAGCUGAGCUCCAGUUCCAUCCCCGCUGCCUCCUCAGUUCCUUCCCACUGCAGCCUUGCUGAAUCUCCACUGCAUCCUCCCUGCAUCCUCCCUGCAUCCUCCCUGCAUCCUCCCUGCAUCCUCACUGCACCUCACUGCAUCCUUCUCUUCCUCCCCGCUGCAUUCUCGCUGCGUCUUCCGUUCCUCCCCACUGUAUCUGCGCUACAUCCCCACUGCAUUCCUACUCCAUUCCUACUCCGUUCCUACUCCGUUCCUACUCUGUCCCGGCUCCAUCCCUGCUCCAUCCCAGCUCCAUCCCAGCUCCAUCCAGCUCCAUCCCAGCUCCAUCCAGCUCCAUUCCAGCUCCAUCCAGCUCCAUCCCAGCUCCAUCCCAGCUCCGCUCCUACUCCAUCCCAGUUCCAUCCAGCUCCAUCCAGCUCCAUCCAGCUCCAUCCCAUCUCCAUCCCAGCUCCAUCCCAGCUCCAUCCAGCUCCAUCCAGCUCCAUCCCAGCCCCAUUCCAGCUCCAUCCCAGUUCCAUCCCAUCUCCAUCCCAUCUCCAUCCCAGCUCCAUCCAGCUCCAUCCCAGCUCCAUCCCAGCUCCAUCCCAGCUCCGUCCCAGCUCCAUCCCAGCUCCAUCCCAGCUCCAUCCCAGCUCCAUCCCAGCUCCAUCCCAGCUCUAUCCCAGCUCCAUCCCAGCUCUAUCCCAGCUCCAUCCCAGCUCCAUCCCAUCUCCAUCCCAGCUCCAUCCCAUCUCCAUCCCAGCUCCAUCCCAGCUCCAUCCCAUCUCCAUCCAGCUCCAUCCCAGUUCCAUCCCAGCUCCAUCCCAGCUCCAUCCAGCUCCACCCCAGCUCCAUCCAGCUCCAUCCCAGCUCCAUCCAGCUCCAUCCCAGCUCCAUCCCAGCUCCAUCCCAGCUCUAUCCCAGCUCCAUCCCAGCUCCAUCCCAGAUCCGUGUCCCAGCUCCAUCCCAGCUCCAUCCCAGCUCCAUCCCAGCUCCAUCCCAGCUCCAUCCCAGCUCCAUCCCAGCUCCAUCCCAGCUCCAUCCAGCUCCAUCCAGCUCCAUCCAGCUCCAUCCCUGCUCCAUCCCAGCUCCAUCCCAGCUCCAUCCCUGCUCCAUCCCAGCUCCAUCCCAGCUCCAUCCAGCUCCAUCCAGCUCCAUCCCAGCUCCAUCCCAGCUCCAUCCCAGCUCUGUUCCUACUCCAUCCCAUCUCCA
rnacentral:lncRNA from 1 species